CUGACAUUCUCAUGUGUGAAAUUGAAUUGCAUAAACUAUUUGUUUGAUUGCAUGGUGUGCUGUGAUCCCCCAGAUUGGCAUGGACUACACUGACUUGAGACAGCUGUUGCCAAUUCCCUAUCACCUCCUUCCUCCCCAAACUAAUUGCUAAACAUGUCCCAGAACUAGAGUUAAAAGGAACUGGAACUUAUCUUCAGAGUGCCAUUUGGACCGGUGACCUCUCGGCUGACGGCCUGUCAUACCUUAACUUGACAAAUCAAUCUCCGUUGCACUGUUAAAGGAAAGUUCUUGUUUCGACUGAGUGAGUGUGACUCCAAUAGUUGGCCAGUACAUGCUUUACAGGACGCAACUGUUGCACCCAAUGCUACAAGACCCGGCGCAGAUCGAGAGACAGCCCAGCAAACAGCCACCGACAACCGAGCCAGGCAACCAAGAGCUCAACUCAAACAAUGCUCUCUUUAGCACUAUUAAAGGAAAGUUCUUAUUUCCAGCAUGUGAGUGUGACUCCAAUUGUUGGCCGAUACAUACUCUAAUUGUAUGUUUUGUGACUACAGACACAGGGUACAUGCCCGACGCAGCUGCAAGAGGCUACACCCAAUGCUACCACAUAGCCGGUCCGAUGCGGAGAGAGGGACAGCCGGCAACCUGCCAUUGGCAACCUAACCAGCCAUGGACUCUCGGACCAGCCAUCGACUAAUGUCCCCUGCUUGGGAGGAAGAGCCAAACCCUGCUCGGGUCGAGUAUAACGAACAAACAAUGGCCACCGCUCCGCAAAGUGCAAAAUUGUAUGUCCCCAGACCUGCUGGAGCAGCAGGAACUUCAGGUACCUAGCAAGUUCAAAUUCCAAGUAGUCCAGGGGACCACGAUACAACAUUCAAAAAAAAUUGUCCCUGGAACAAAGCGGGAACUACACAAAGCUUGCACGGGACCAUGACUGUAAAUUCAAUUAAUGUAAAUGAUGCAUUAUAAAGUAAAAUAUUCUCAAUUACAUUUGACACCUGGGUUUUCACAUGUGCUCAAAUGUUGUCACGUGUAGUUUCAUGGUAUCACAUGUUUAAAUUUUGCAUCCCCAAGUUGUCACAUUUAUUUCACAUGAGAUCAUUGUUUUUACAUGUGCUCACAUUGUCACUUUAUCACAUUAACUUAACACACGGGUCUGUCAUUCUUUGUCACACCUUAACUUGACAAACUGAAGAGCUGAAUGUGAAUCACAGUACAGUAUGUAUCAGGCCCGACUCCAACUAGUAUUGCUGUUGAGUCCUAAAAACACAGGUAGAUUGGUCCCACCACUGUACAAAAAUGUAUCUGAAAUAUAGCCAUACACAUCAACCAUUGUUUUAUAUAACACAAGUUAUCCCCGGACCCCAUUAUGACAUACAGCUGCAUUUUGCCAUACAUUUGCACCUACCAACACGCACAGAUCAGCUUGACGGGAUGAGCACCACUAGGCUAUCAAAUUCAUACAGGCUACAUAGCUUAAACUUCAAUCAUUUGAAGACUCUAUAGCAGGUGUUCUUAAACUUUUUCAGCCUGGGACCCAAAUGAGAAAUUCUGUGUUUCCUGGGACCCAAGCUUAGGAUAAUAUGUAAAUAUCGGUACAUUUCAUUGCCCUUAUGCCUAAGAAAAAAAUGCAAUAUAGACAAAAACAAUUUAACAAUGUAUUGUCCAUAAAUAUAUUUUCAUGUUUAUUUUUCCCCAUUAAAAACACUCUUAUACACCUUUCUAGGUCGGAACUGUUGCUGUUAAAAAAACUAUAAAUAAUUUCAUUCUGAACUGGAAUAAACGGAUUGAUCACAU
rnacentral:lncRNA from 1 species